rnacentral:rRNA from 1 species
GAGGAAUUUUGCGCAGUGGGGGAAACCCUGACGCAGCAACGCCGCGUGAGUGAUGAAGGCUUUCGGGUCGUAAAGCUCUGUCAAGUGGGAAGAAUCUGCAUGCGGUUAAUAACCGCAGGUACUGACGGUACCA